GGAAGGGCAGGGAGGAGGCGAGCCGGGCGCCGAGGAGCCGGCGAGCGCCGCCGUCGCCCGCGCCAUGUCCGCGCGCAGCUUGGGCACGGAGCUGGACCUUAGCUGGAUCUCCAAAAUACAAGUGAAUCAACCAGCAGUUCUGAGGCGUGCAGAGCAAAUCCAGGCUCGCAGGACCGUGAAAAAGGAGUGGCAAGCUGCUUGGCUCCUGAAAGCUGUUACCUUUAUAGACCUUACUACACUCUCAGGCGAUGACACAUCUUCCAAUGUUCAAAGGCUCUGUUAUAAAGCCAAGUAUCCAAUCCGGGAAGACCUCUUAAAAACUUUAAAUGUGCAUGAUAAAGGUAUUACUACAGCCGCCGUUUGUGUUUAUCCUGCACGAGUGUGUGACGCUGUGAAAGCACUGCAGGCAGCGGGCUGUGCCAUCCCAGUGGCUUCGGUGGCCACUGGCUUUCCAGCUGGACAGACCCAUUUAAAGACACGAUUGGAAGAGAUCAGAUUGGCUGUGGAAGAUGGAGCUAUGGAAAUCGAUGUGGUAAUUAACAGGACCUUGGUGCUGACAGGCCAGUGGGAAGCGCUGUAUGAUGAGAUUCGUCAGUUUCGCAAGGCCUGCGGGGAGGCUCAUCUCAAAACCAUCUUAGCAACAGGAGAACUUGGAUCUCUUACUAAUGUCUAUAAAGCCAGUAUGAUAGCAAUGAUGGCAGGAUCAGAUUUUAUUAAGACCUCUACUGGAAAAGAAACUGUAAAUGCCACUUUCCCCGUAGCUAUAGUAAUGCUACGGGCCAUUAGAGAUUUCUUCUGGAAAACUGGAAACAAGAUCGGCUUUAAACCAGCAGGAGGCAUCCGCAGUGCAAAGGAUUCCCUUGCCUGGCUCUCUCUCAUAAAAGAAGAGCUGGGAGACGAAUGGCUGACGCCAGAACUCUUUCGAAUAGGUGCCAGUACCCUGCUUUCAGACAUCGAGAGGCAGAUUUACCAUCACGUGACUGGAAGAUACGCGGCUUAUCACGAUCUACCGAUGUCUUAAAUCAGCGACCAAUUCCAGAAAAGUCCCUUAACAUGUGUUUUUCCACAUAGCUGGCACAUCUGAAAUGGUCCUAAUUACUUGAUGAUCUGUAUUGUUAAUUUUGUGAAGAUUUCCUCCUAAAAAUUCUGCGUAAAAUAUUAAUGAUAACUCUGACAACAUUAAAUUCUGAGGGAAAAAAAUUCUAGAUGGCCCGAGAAAUGUGCCUGAGCCAAAGAAAAUGCCACAUUCCAGAGCUUCUGGCCGUACUCUAAUGACUUCAGGAAUCACUGGCUUGGCACUAAUUUCCUGCCAUGAAAAUCUGUCUUUAAUUUUUACAACAGAUACGCUCUUUUAUUAAUUGUUUUGCUAAUGAAACCUCUGAUACUGUUAUAUGAUAUUAUGGCUGUUGUCUUUUAUAAAAAUCUCUCUGUAGUUUAUUGUUUUGGAAAAAAACCUUUCAAUUGUAACAGUACAUACUGAAAAAGUAAU